rnacentral:lncRNA from 1 species
UCAAUGAUCCUGGGUCAAAUAUCAACUUUUGAAAUUCAUCAGGUCGCAUAAGCCCAUACACCUGAAUCCCUGGAUUAAACACAAAAUAAAACAAAUCAACAAGUUCCUUUUGUCUAAUCACGAAGGAAUCAAAUAAAUCAAAAUCACAUGCAUAGUCUAAUACAACAAUAUUCAAAACACUUCCCUGUAAACUCUCAAUGCAUUGAUCGAAUUGAAUUGCACGAUCCAUGUUUCCCUCGAUGAAUAUGAUCCUAUCACGAAUCUGCAAA